rnacentral:tRNA from 1 species
GGUGACUCAGUGGUAGAGUGCUUGCCUUGCAUGCAUGAGGUCCUGGGUUCGAUUCCUUAGCACCA